GUCUGGAGUGAACAGACUGGAGCGCGCGCGCGCGGGAAAGAGGGAGUUGCGCGCGCUGAGGAUGCUUCAGGAUGAAUUUUGGGAACCAGCGUGUAAUAGGUGCUCAUUAGGAGGAAUAUUGCGCGCAAUGCGCAACACGAAGCAGCGUCGGUGGAUCAGAAGAAACGCGCAGAUAUUUUCCACACAGCAGUAGCAGAAUCAUAUGUCCAUGAUUGCCUCUUCAACUUGCUGCAAGAGUCUUUUGCAAACGUUUCCUUCUGAAGCUGACGCAGACCAAGAUCCUUCUGGGAUGUCACACGGGCUUUGCCUGUGUGUCAAUUUAGCCACUUCCCUUGGAUAAGCUGCCAGAAGAUUAAGCCAGAACAAUUGCAGACCAUCUUUAUCAAGCCAAAACACAACAAUUAAACAUCUUCCCUGUGUUUUCCCAACCAGUGUGAGUAUUUUAGAGUCUCCAGCUUAUUUGGAGAGGUUGACUUUUUCAGUCAGCUGCAGUUUGCCCGGUUAUAGCUCCCCCUAGCAGCUCCCUCCAUAUUUCCUUGUUCAUGCUAGCCUUGAUAUCUAUUCUCACCCUAUACAGACACCAUGCCAAGACCUUUAAAAAUCCAUAUACAGGCAUGCAUUAGGGCCAAUAUACAUCCCAAUGAGCCCAUCCAUCCAUUAGUGGCCUGGCCAUUGGAGAACACAGCUCUUCCUACCUCUUCAGAUUGCUACCUCCUUCUCCAAAGUCCCAAUCCCGACUGUACUUCUUCUUCCCAGCAAACACUGCAAAAGAGGCUCUUCCAUUUUAGCUCAAUAUGGAGGGGUGUUCAAAUUGGACUAUACCAUUUAAAAUGGCCCUAAGAUGGCUGUGGAGCCUCAAAAAGGGCCCUUUGGCCACCAUAUAAUGCAGGUCUCCACUUGCUCCAUGACAGAAGCAAGAAUGAACCCCUAUUGACCAGCCCCCUCCUAGAGCUACAGAUGACCUCCCCCAAUGACAUUCAAAUAUUCCAGCCUUCCAACAGUCAGAUAGUGUCUAUACAGAGAGCCGACUGUCACUUCUGGAGCAGCUGAGGGCACAGAAAACCUCCAGACAGGCCAGCUGCCAAGCUCUGCCAUUGCUCACAAUAGGUGCAAGCUGUUUGUGGGGGGCUUAUUAGUCAAAUAAAGAUUUAAAUAAUAAAUUAAGAGCUAGAAUAAACCAAAUGUGUUAAAAUAGGGCAGAGAAAUAUGAGACAUCUAUUGCAUAUGCUGGCACUGAGAUAAAAAGGAUACAUUUCUAUUGGUGCCCAAACAGGACACCUGUUUCUAGCAUUAAUAAAACAAAACUUAACAAUCUUAGCAAUGGUUAUUAAAUUGCAUUUUAAGGAAUACUGAGUAGUUAGGGUAUAUAUGUACUGAAUUGAGACAAAUAAUUGCCGUAUAACUGUUUUUACCAAUAUAAACUGCCUUUUUAUGUUGAUUUCUGCUGGUACAGGCAUUUCCAUGCUUCUGUUCCUUUAAAUGCAAGAAGGAAGCACUAAAAUGAGUCUCUUUAAUGCAUAAUUCAUUGAACAAUGGCUAUAUUAGUCAAAAUAAAAUAAAAAAAAACCCAACAAAUUAAUAAACAAACCAAUUCACUUUUUCUAGGUAAAAGGAACGUGUUUUCAGUGGUGUCAAAAUAUUGCACCUCUUUUAUGCAAUAAUUAAAUUACAAAGCUUAAAAGCCUUUGCAUUGGAAUUGUAAAUAUCUUUUAAGGUAUACUGAUUAACAUACAGUAUAUCUACUGAUUUCAGAGCAACUGUUGUUGAAUGGCUGUUGUAUAUCAAUUUGAAAUGCCUUUUUAUCACACUUUCUGAUUCAUAGUCAUUCCUGAGCUCUUGUUCCUUUAAAUAUAACAAACUUGCUGUAAAAUGAGCUGUUAGGAUGUUUUUUAGUGCAUGCAUUGGUGUAGAAUAACAAUUAUAAUCCAAUAAAACAAGAAAUAAUUUUUAAAAA